AACCCCAACAGCUAGCCCACCCAAGCAAAACAACAAACCCCAUCAAUAACCCUAAAAACAGUACCCCAAAUUUAACAAAACAUUUUUCCCCCUUAGUAUAGGAGAUAGAAAAGGGCCCCGGCGCCAUAAAAGAAGUACCGCAAGGGAAAGCUGAAAGAGAACUGAAACAACCCAGUAAAGGACAAAAAAGCAGAGACUAGCUCUCGUACCUUUUGCAUCAUGAUUUAGCGAGCACCUCCAAGCAAAGCGACCUGUAUGUUUGAGACCCCGAAACUGGGCGAGCUACUCCAAGACAGCCUAUUAUAGGGCAAACCCGUCUCUGUUGCAAAAGAGUGGGAAGAGCUUUGAGUAGAGGUGACAGACCUACCGAGCCUAGUAAUAGCUGGUUGCCUGAGAAUUGAAUAGAAGUUCAGCCUUUUGAAAUCUUUUUACCCCCUUGGAGACCCUUCCCCCGGCAAAAAGGACAUCAAAAGAGAUAUUCGUGGGGGGGACAGCCCCCUCGAACAAAGAUACAACUUUACAGCAGGCUAAGGACUAAAUCAAAAAAGGUAAAAUGCCCAGGUAGGCCUAGAAGCAGCCAUCCCAGCAGAAAGCGUUAAAGCUUAAGCAUUUAACCCCUCAGAUCCCAGUAAUGAUAUCCUAUGCCCCUACACCUAUCAGGCCCUUCCAUGCACCCAUGGAAAAGACACUGCUAAUAUGAGUAAUAAGAAAGAACUGCCUUUCUCCUCACCUCCGUGUAAUCAGAACAGACCCUAACUGAAAAUUAACGCCCCCAAUCACAGAGGGACCUAGGACACAACAAUUAAACUAGAAAACCCCCCAGACCCUAGCGUUAGUCCCACACAGGAAGGUAAAAGGAAAGACACAAGGAAAAAGAAGGAACUCGGCAAACAUUAGCCUCGCCUGUUUACCAAAAACAUCGCCUCUUGCAAACCCACUAUAAGAGGUCCCGCCUGCCCAGUGACGAAAGUUCAACGGCCGCGGUAUUUUGACCGUGCGAAGGUAGCGUAAUCACUUGUCUUUUAAAUGAAGACCUGUAUGAAUGGCAUAACGAGGGCUAAGCUGUCUCCUUUUUCUAGUCAAUGAAAUUGAUCUCCCCGUGCAGAAGCGGGCAUAAUCACAUAAGACGAGAAGACCCUGUGGAGCUUCAGACUAUGAAACAGACUAAGUUAAAUACCCUCUUUACCAGGACCAAACCAAGUAGUCCCUGUUUCAAUAUCUUUGGUUGGGGCGACCGCGGAGAAUCAAAAAACCCCCGCGCGGAAAGGGGCCCUCCCCGAAACUAGAGCCACAGCUCUAACAAGCAGAACUUCUGACCACUCAAGAUCCGGCACAAGCCGAUCAACGGACCAAGUUACCCCAGGGAUAACAGCGCAAUCCCCUUUUAGAGCCCAUAUCGACAAGGGGGUUUACGACCUCGAUGUUGGAUCAGGACUUCCUAAUGGUGCAGCCGCUAUUAAGGGUUC
rnacentral:rRNA from 1 species